GAGGAUAUAGCUCAGUGGUAGAGCACAUGCUUAACAUAAUGAGGUCCUGGGUUCAAUCCCCAGUACCUCCA
rnacentral:tRNA from 1 species